UACGAAGGGGGCUAGCGUUGCUCGGAAUCACUGGGCGUAAAGGGCGCGUAGGCGGCUUUAUAAGUCGGGGGUGAAAGCCUGUGGCUCAACCACAGAAUUGCCUUCGAUACUGUAGAGCUUGAGACCGGAAGAGGUAAGUGGAACUGCGAGUGUAGAGGUGAAAUUCGUAGAUAUUCGCAAGAACACCAGUGGCGAAGGCGGCUUACUGGUCCGGUUCUGGACGCUGAGG
rnacentral:rRNA from 1 species